rnacentral:lncRNA from 1 species
AUGGUUCUGGGGCAGAGCCCGACUCCUCCUCGCCCUGCUGCGGGCAGGGAGCAGCCUGGGGCACCCAGCUUGCAUCAGCACCCUUGGGACGAGGCCGGGCGUGAGGCUGACGGGUGCCUGGUGCUGAAGGCUCACCUUGUCCCCAGCCCUGCGGCCGGGGCAGCUCCUGGUGCUGGAGGCAGAGGCCAGCAGGGAGCAGCCGCUGCCCCGGCAGCCCCCUGGGCUUUCGGGGGAGGCCGGGGCCGUGCAGGCACCCUGGUUUCCAGCAUGGGCUGCCCCCGGUUCCUCCUCGCUGCAGGGGGUGCUGAGCUGGAGGAACUGGGGCGCAGGGGAGGGGUGGGAGCACCCCGAGCCUGCCCCAGGCUUCGCUCUGGAGCUGUGCGGCCAGCACCCUGGGCUCGCAUCGCUGGAGGAUGCAUGCGCAAAAAUAAUAAAGGGAAGGCGCUGCCUCGGUUUGCUGGGGUCGUGGCACAGUUCGCAGGCUCUGCUCUGCACUUAGGGCCAGGCUGGCUGUGGGCUGAAGGAAGGUGGUGGGGAGGGAAGAAAACCAUCCCCAGCUGCCCCCAGGCCAGCCUGGGGCGCAGAGCUUCCCAGCUGGGUGCACUGGGGAGGGGAGGGCUGAGCAGAGCAGGGCUGGGAGCUGCCAGCACCCUCCCACAGCCCCCCCCGGCACACACACAGCCCCGUGCCACCGGCUGCGGCCGCAGAACAAGCAGAGCAGGGACACCCCAGGCAGGAUUCAGUGUCCCUGAAGCCCGGUACUACCGCAGGGAACUCCUGAAACGUAGGAAACCAAAGAGCAGUUCCAGUGCAGCUGUGUCUCGGUCCCGAGCCGCCUGCCCGCUGUGCACCGCCGCUGUCCUCACCUCCCUGCCUGGGCUUGGCACCUCGGGGAGGAGCUGCCCCAAGCCUCCUGCCAGCCCAAUCCCACAGCUGCCGCCUCUUCCCCGGGUCCCCUCCACGCAGGGAAGGCUGCGAGGCCGCAGCUGCUGCUCCUGCCUGCCUGCCGCCUUCGGCUGA